AUGUGUCUCACAGUUUGGGGAGUCACGAAAUAUUUGUAUCAAAUAUGAGAGGAUUCUCCGUACCGGACGAUCAUUAAAUUUUCUUGUGUGUCGCAAUAAGAACAAUUCGCAAUUAUUCUUUUGACUACGCUGAGGUGUUGACAAGUUAAUUUAUUGCCGAGUUGGCGUUUCAUCGUUUUUUUCUACACAUCUUCAAUAUAUAAAUUAAGGUAUUGGCGAUGCCGUUUUCACAGUUGAAUCUUGUUCCUUCCCCCAAAGACUAAAAGCUCUCAACUGAAAAGAUGACGGGAAAAAUAUUUGCUUUUGCUUGUGUUUUCCUUCUGAUCGCUGUUUGCCAUGGAUACUCGGAAUCUAUGUCCUGCGUUUCAGUUCCCGGACAAAAUACUCCUAUCUGCAGGAGGAGCUACAAUCAAAAUGGGAACAGUGCCAAUGCUGGAGCAUUUGCCUACCCCGUGUAUCCAGUUGUUUAUGCCAAUACACAACCAAGAUACUACGAAGAAGAGCCACCACCAAUAAUG